CGUGCAGGCGGUCGAGUAAGUCAGAUGUGAAAGCCUUUCGCUUAACGAGAGAAGUGCAUUUGAAACUGCUCGGCUAGAGUACGGGAGAGGAGAGUGGAAUUCCCGGUGUAGAGGUGAAAUUCGUAGAUAUCGGGAGGAACACCAGUGGCGAAGGCGGCUCUCUGGUCCGAUACUGACGCUGAGACGCGAAAGCGUGGGAGCAAACAGGAUUAGAUACCCUGGUAGUCCACGCCGUAAACGAUGGGCACUAGGUGUAGGAGGUAUUGACCCCUUCUGUGCCGAAGCUAACGCAUUAAGUGCCCCGCCUGGGGAGUACGGCCGCAAGGCUAAA
rnacentral:rRNA from 1 species